rnacentral:rRNA from 1 species
AGUGAACGCUGGCGGCGUGCUUAACACAUGCAAGUCGAACGAGAACGGGAUAUAGCUUGCUAUAUUUGUCAGCUAAGUGGCGCACGGGUGAGUAAUGUAUAGAUAACCUGCCCUCUAGAAAGGAAUAACAGUUGGAAACGACUGCUAAUGCCCUAUAUGCCUUUAAUACAUAAGUAUGCAAGGGAAACGCUUUAGUGCUAGAGGAUGGGUCUGUAUGGUAUCAGCUUGUUGGUGAGGUAAUGGCUCACCAAGGCUAUGACGCCUAACUGGUUUGAGAGGAUGAGCAGUCAAACUGGAACUGAGACGCGGUCCAGACUCAUACGGGAGGCAGCAGUGGGGAAUAUUGCACAAUGGACGAAAGUCUGAUGCAGCAACGCCGCGUGGAGGAUGACACAUUUCGGUGCGUAAACUCCUUUUAUAUAGGAAGAUAAUGACGGUACUAUAUGAAUAAGCACCGGCUAACUCCGUGCCAGCAGCCGCCGUAA